UGUGUGUUAGUGGAAGCGUCUGGAAAGGCGCGCGAUACAGGGUGACAGCCCCGUACACAAAAAUGCACAUGCUGUGAGCUCGAUGAGUAGGGCGGGACACGUGGUAUCCUGUCUGAAUAUGGGGGGACCAUCCUCCAAGGCUAAAUACUCCUGACUGACCGAUAGUGAACCAGUACCGUGAGGGAAAGGCGAAAAGAACCCCGGCGAGGGGAGUGAAAAAGAACCUGAAACCGUGUACGUACAAGCAGUGGGAGCCUCUUAAUGGGGUGACUGCGUACCUUUUGUAUAAUGGGUCAGCGACUUAUAUUCUGUAGCAAGGUUAACCGAAUAGGGGAGCCGAAGGGAAACCGAG
rnacentral:rRNA from 1 species